rnacentral:lncRNA from 10 species
GGAACGUCUACCCGCUGCGCCAAACCAAAACUUUGCAGUAAUAGUUGAUGCUGUUUCCUGCACUUUGGUGGAGAUUUGCACCAGGCGCUGGAGACCGUCCCACCUGGCCAAUGCCCACCUCCCGGUGAACACAGAGACCCAACUUUGUGCACCGCCAGUCUUGUUAUCAAAAAACAGGCUAGUGCCAGGCGCGGUGGCUCAAGCUUGUAAUCCCAACACUUUGGGAGGCGGAUGCGGGCGGAUCACGAGGUCAGGAGAUCGAGACCACGGUGAAACCCCGUCUCUACUGAAAAUACAAAAAAUUAGCCGGGCGUGGUGGCGGGCGCCUGUAGUCCCAGCUACUCGGAGAGGCUGAGGCAGGAGAAUGGCGUGAACCCGGGAGGAGGAGCUUGCAGUGAGCAGAGAUCGCGCCAAUGCACUCCAGCCUGAGCGACAGAGCGAGACUCCGUCUCAAAAAAAAAAAAAAAAAAAAAAAACCAGGUUAGUAAAUUAUAAAAAAUAAAAUAAAGGAAAUGUAGCCGGGCGUGGUGGCGUGCGCCUGUAAUCCCAUCUACUCCGGAGGCUGAUGCAGGAGAAUCGUUUGAACCCGGGAGGUGGAGAUUGCAGUGAGCCGAGAUCGCGCCACUCCCCUCCAGCCUGGGCGGCAAGACCGAAACUCCGUCUGAAAAGAAUAAAAUAAAAGGAAAUGGGGCCGGGCGCGGUGGCUCACGCCUGUAGUUCCAGCACUUUGGGAGGCCGAGGCGGGCGGAUUACUUGAGGUCAGGAGUUCGAGACCAGUCCGGCCGCCAACAUGACGAAACCUCCGUCUGUACUAAAAAUACAAAAAUUAGCCAGGCGUGGUGGCGGGCGCCUGUAAUCCCGGCUACUCAGGAGUCAGAGGCACAAGAAUCGCUUGAACCCGGGAGGCGGAGGUUGCAGUGAGCCGAGAUCGCGCCCCUGCGCUCCAGCCUGGGCGACCGAGUGAGACUCCGUCUUAAAAUAAAAUAGGCCGGGCGCAGUGGCUCACGCCUGUAAUCCCAGCACUUUGGGAGGCCGAGGCGGGUGGAUUGCCUGAGCUCUGGAGUUCGAGACCAUCCUGGGCAACAUGGUGAAACUCCGUCUCUACUAAAAAAACAAAAAUUAGCCGGGCGUGGUGGCACAUGCCUGUAAUCGUAGCUACUUGGGAGGCUGAGGCAGGAGAAUCGUUUGAACCCGGGAGGGGGAGGUUGCAGUGAGCCGAGAUCGCGAUAUUGCACUCCAGCCUGGGCGAGAGGAUCGAAACUCCGUCUCAAAAAAAUAAAUAAACAAAUAAAUAAAUAUAAAGGAAAUGGACAAAGGAAACACAAAUGCAUGAAAUCAAACAAAUGCUUUCUCUGACGGACUCCGUCUUUGCAAAACUGAACCUAGGACAAUGUGCACGUUUCUACCUAGCAAUUCCGGAGGACAGAGCGGGCAGGGAGGUGAACUUGCUUUUCUGUAAUUUAAUUGACUUGUCAGUAAAGUCAGUGUUUUGCAGGCAUUUUCAGUGUUCUGUAGUGGGCUUUAGUUCCGAUCACAGUGUGGCAGGCCAGGUUUCCAUUAGCAACCAGAACAGUUUCCACUAACCCUUUACUAUAAUUUUGAUGAAUGCAUAAGUUAAACGUUGAAGAAAUGGAGAAACUGGUGCCUGAGUAUCAGGGAUGGAAUGCGAAAACGAACCCAUUAAGACCCUGCCUUGGUCUUCUCAGAUCCUAAAGUCUGAUCGAAUAAUAAUAGCAUUCUUACACAUUCACCUCAGCCUGUCUUAAGAUUCAGAAACUUUCCAAGACUCUAGAGAAAUCUUUCCAGACCCUAGGCCCUAGUUAAAGAUUAGAUGUUGAUUGAAUGCAACACUUCUGCUUGUAGGUGCAGUCCCACACAUACCGUGGACCUUAAGAUGUCUAUAAACACUAGAAAAAAACUUGUAACUUUGAGUUGGUCUGGUGAGUUACUUGGCCCUUCUCCAUGUAAUCGGUUGCAGAAAUAAACUUUCUUCUUUCCCAGUCUGUCUGCAUCCUAUUGGAGAAUCGCGACGGACUGACUCAGCAAACUCCUCUUUUGUGUGGUUAUCUGGGACUCCUUUGGGAGGGAACAUUUUAAAUUUUCCAUUUCAAAGGGUUCCAUUGGCACUCUUGCACUGUUAUUCUCUGCCUACCCUGAGACUUGAGUUCUCCUGGACUCGAAUCUCCAGCCACAGAGUCCAGAAGCCCAUACCUCCACAUUCUGUGACUGUUCCCAAACACAGGGAGAAUUUGCAGAAAAUAUGUAUAAAAACCUUGCCAUUCUUCGCAAUAAAACCCCACAUUACAAACUGGUGAAAACGGAGGAUUUUAGCUUGAACAGGUUUUUCCUCUAUUUGAAAUCAAUCAUUUCCCUUUUACAAUUUUGGAGUGAAGUUUCAAAAUCAGUACGCACCCACUCCCAGGUUUAUCCUUAUGUAAAGUGCCCCCUCUGCACAUGCAACAUUUAAUAAACCUUGAAAAUAUGAUGCUAAGUGAAAGAAGCCAGUCACAAAAGACCACAUGUUGUGUAAUUCCAUUUAAAUAAAAUAUCCAAAAUAGACCAAUACAUAGAAACAGAAAGUAGAUUAGUGGUGGCCCGGGGUUAGGGGAGUUGGGGGGAACUGGAGGGAUAUGGGGUUUACUUCAAGGUAAUGAAAAUGAUCUAAAACUUACUGUGGUGCUGUUUGCACAACUGUGCAAAUAUACUGAAAACCGUUGAAUUUUACACUUUCAAUGGGUGGCUUCUGUGAUAUGUUAUUAAUAUUUCUCAAUAAAACUUCAAAAAAAAAUA